CCUGGCACACAGUAGGUGAUCAAAAUACUAAUUAAAACAAUGCAAAGUGGCCGAAACUGGUUUGGCUCAGUGGUAGAGCGUCCAUCUGCGGACUGAAAGGUCCCAGGUUCGAUUCUGGUCAGGGCAUGUUCGUUGGUUGCGGACACAUCCCCAGUAGGGGGUGUGCAAG